AAUAAGAUUAUUUUUCAGUUUUUCUAUAUAAUAUUUUUACUCUUCAUUUUAUUUGAAUUUUUUUUGCGAUUAAUAAUUUUAUUCUUACUAGAUGAUAAAACAUGAAUAGUACUUUAUACGUGACUAAUGUUUUAAAAGUUUUUGUGCAAAUUUUUUAAAUAAGACGAAUGAUCAAAUGUUGAACACGAAAAA
rnacentral:pre_miRNA from 1 species